CCUACGGGAGGCUGCAGUGGGGAAUAUUGGGCAAUGGGCGCAAGCCUGACCCAGCAACGCCGCGUGAAGGAAGAAGGCCCUCGGGUUGUAAACUUCUUUUGUCAGGGACGAAACUAAUGACGGUACCUGACGAAUAAGCCACGGCUAACUACGUGCCAGCAGCCGCGGUAAGACGUAGGUGGCAAGCGUUAUCCGGAUUUACGGGGUGUAAAGGGCGUGGAGGCGGGAGAGCAAGUCAGAUGUGAAAUCCCAGGGGUCAACCCUGGAACUGCAUUUGAAACUGUUUUUCUUGAGUGAUGGAGAGGCAGGCGGAAUUCCGUGUGUAGCGGUGAAAUGCGUAGAUAUACGGAGGAACACCAGUGGCGAAGGCGGCCUGCUGGACAUUAACUGACGCUGAGGCGCGAAAGCGUGGGGAGCAAACAGGAUUAGAUACCCCAGUAGUC
rnacentral:rRNA from 1 species